rnacentral:SRP_RNA from 1 species
AGCCGGUUCCUUCGCAACGAUAGAUGGUAAACCCCGCCAGGCCCGGAAGGGAGCAACGGUAGCUAUUGACUCGU